rnacentral:sRNA from 1 species
GACCGCUCUUUGAGCCAAGGCCACACGGACAGCCGGGUCGAAUGCCG